CGUAUUCUCAGUCUCAGUGUGCGCAGCCUCAGUAGGGGAGAAGCUGGUUUCCUACACAUGUCAAGAGGGUACAAACACACUUGAAAUACCAUUUGGAGCAGUGGAUCCCCAAUGUGAUCAGAGCUGGACCACUGGCAAAAAGCCCAUUGCUUACUAUGAAAAUGGCAAAGGUGAAUGCAGUUUUUCAUGCGAAGAAGUUAUCUCUGGCAAAGUCCUCCUCAGUGACUGUGCCGAUGUCACAUUAACUACUGGUUGUACCACCAAGGAUGGGGUAUAUGAAGAGACCAGGCUGCACUUCUCAGGGAUAAGUGUCAGCAACCAAGCUUUGCCUCCGGAAACUGCCAGUACUGCAUCUACAAACGUUCAACAUGCUCAUUAUGG